CCUACGGGAGGCAGCAGUGGGGAAUAUUGGGCAAUGGGCGCAAGCCUGACGCAGCAACGCCGCGUGAAGGAAGAAGGCUUUCGGGUUUUAAACUUCUUUUCUCAGGGACGAAGCAAGUCACGGUCCCUGAAGAAUAAGCCACGGCUAAAUACGUGCCAGCAGCCGCGGUAAUAUGUAGGGGGCACGCGUUAUCCGGAUUUACUGGGUGUAAAGGGCGUGUAGGGGGGGAAGCAAGUCAGAUGUGAAAACCAUGGGCUCAACCUGUGGCCUGCAUUUGAAACUGUUUUUCUUGAGUACUGGAGAGGCAGGCGGAAUUCCUAGUGUAGCGGUGAAAUGCGUAGAUAUUAGGAGGAACACCAGUGGCGAAGGCGGUCUGCUGGACAGCUACUGACGCUGAGGCGCGAAAGCGUGGGGAGCAAACAGGAUUAGAUACCCGAGUAGUC
rnacentral:rRNA from 1 species